rnacentral:rRNA from 1 species
GGAUGAACGCUGGCGGCGUGCCUAAUACAUGCAAGUCGAGCGAACAGAUAAGGAGCUUGCUCCUUUGACGUUAGCGGCGGACGGGUGAGUAACACGUGGGUAACCUACCUAUAAGACUGGAAUAACUCCGGGAAACCGGGGCUAAUGCCGGAUAACAUGUUGAACCGCAUGGUUCUACAGUGAAAGACGGUCUUGCUGUCACUUAUAGAUGGACCCGCGCCGUAUUAGCUAGUUGGUGGGGUAACGGCCUACCAAGGCGACGAUACGUAGCCGACCUGAGAGGGUGAUCGGCCACACUGGAACUGAGACACGGUCCAGACUCCUACGGGAGGCAGCAGUAGGGAAUCUUCCGCAAUGGGCGAAAGCCUGACGGAGCAACGCCGCGUGAGUGAUGAAGGUCUUCGGAUCGUAAAGCUCUGUUGUUAGGGAAGAACAAAUGUGUAAGUAACUGUGCACAUCUUGACGGUACCUAACCAGAAAGCCACGGCUAACUACGUGCCAGCAGCCGCGGUAAUACGUAGGUGGCAAGCGUUAUCCGGAAUUAUUGGGCGUAAAGCGCGCGUAGGCGGUUUUUUAAGUCUGAUGUGAAAGCCCACGGCUCAACCGUGGAGGGUCAUUGGAAACUGGAAAACUUGAGUGCAGAAGAGGAAAGUGGAAUUCCAUGUGUAGCGGUGAAAUGCGCAGAGAUAUGGAGGAACACCAGUGGCGAAGGCGGCUUUCUGGUCUGCAACUGACGCUGAUGUGCGAAAGCGUGGGGAUCAAACAGGAUUAGAUACCCUGGUAGUCCACGCCGUAAACGAUGAGUGCUAAGUGUUAGGGGGUUUCCGCCCCUUAGUGCUGCAGCUAACGCAUUAAGCACUCCGCCUGGGGAGUACGGUCGCAAGACUGAAACUCAAAGGAAUUGACGGGGACCCGCACAAGCGGUG